GCUAGGAUCCCUAUCUUGCUUUUCGUUUACCUCAGAUACUAGAGAUGAUUCUGAACUACUCUAAACACAUACACUGCCCUCUGAAGAAUCAACUAAACAAAUGCCUAGUCUGGAAAGCUGAUGAACUUCUUGAACUAACUCCAUCUUACUGUCCUCAACAUGAAAAACACUACCUAUGCACAGUCUACUGAGAGCGUCGGC
rnacentral:lncRNA from 1 species